rnacentral:rRNA from 1 species
GACGUGGGGGCCAGCGUUGCUCGGAAUUACUGGGUGUAAAGGGUUCGUAGGCGGUGUGGCAAGUCGGGAGUGAAAUCUCUGGGCUCAACCCAGAGUCUGCUUCCGAAACUGCUGUGCUUGAGUGUGGGAGAGGCGCGUGGAAUUGCAGGUGUAGCGGUGAAAAUGCGUAGAUAUCUGCAGGAACACCCGUGGCGAAAGCGGCGCGCUGGACCACUACUGACGCUGAGGAACGAAAGCUAGGGGAGCAAAACAGG